rnacentral:rRNA from 1 species
GGCGGUAACUUACCUAACCAGAGGAACUUGCCCUGUAAUCGAUAGCCCUCGUUUUAUCUAACUUAAAUUAGUAGUCAGUUUGUAUACCGCCGUCUGCAGGAAAUAUUUGGAAGUUAUUUUCUGGAAAUCAAAAAUUGGAUGUCAGGUCAAGGUGCAACUUAUAUUUAAGGGAGAGGUGAGUUACAAUAAAAUAAAUUACACGGACCUUAAAUGAAAAUUAAAGAGAAGGUGGAUU